GUGAAAUAACCUGGGACUUAACGUCCCAAACCAUCUCACAUCCACACACCUUUGUGCACUGUUGAAUAGACCCAAUGAAUAUAUAUAUAUAUAUAUAUAUUUGGGCCUAUUCUAUUAUCUUACAAACAUCUUAUGUAUGUAAGGAAAGUGUUAUCGAAAGAAAAAAAAAUUAA
rnacentral:misc_RNA from 1 species